GCCUUCGUGGUGUAGUGGUCAGCACGCUCGACGCAUAACCGAGAGGUUCGUGGUUCGAUUCCCGGCGAAGGCG
rnacentral:tRNA from 1 species